UGCACGGAAAACGGAGUCGUGUACUUAGUCGUAAUUGCGCUAACUGCUUUCAACCGGUGCCCUCUGGACUCCGCUAAUACACUUAAUACUCUCUGACCGUCGUUAAUAUUUAUCUAACGAGUAAUUAUACGGCGACGUCGAUAAUAGGCAGCAGCGUAUACACAGUAAUAAAGUGGAUGUGCGAGGAGUUCGGAAAAAGUGCGAAAGACCUUUAAAGUCCAGGUUGGCUAGGACGGACCGGACCGAAGAUAAGACGCAUCAACAUAACGUUACGUAACGGUCGGAGGAAAAAGGAAACGCAACACCUGCCGAUGCGAUCGCGAGAGGGGAAUAAUUUCAAGCUGAAACGAUAAUUGUUCAUAAAUAUUUAGAGGCGAGCUUCAAGUUUAAAUUUAUAACGUUCGAGUAAACAUCGAGCCGUUGCAAGAAGACGAAGGCAUCUACUGUGUAGUGGUGGUGAAUAAGUGCCUACACCUACUCGGGCGUGCGCUCGCGAGCACUCGACCACCCAUGUGACGAAACUGUUGGAAGGUCGAAAGCGUUCCGACGUUUUUCUGUGCUGCUCGUAAACUGUACUUGAUUAAAUUAACUGAUUUUCAUCACUCGGCGAACAAUACUUAUUUUCCAUCACGUGUUCGAUGUAUCAAUUCACGAGUCGACUGAUUUUUUUCAAUUAUCACGUGGACGUAUGAUUUGGUUUAUUACGAAAGUCUGAAAUAAUUAUAUAAAAAAGCCAUGAACUGUUCUUCUAAUUAA